rnacentral:misc_RNA from 1 species
UCUCCAGAGAGCUCUACUGUUGAAACGUAACCCCCACCACCUACUACUUACAUACUAAGACUGCCCAGCAGUGUAUCAAUGAAUGAAUUGAAUGAAUGACCACAAGAAAGAGUGGGAAUGGGAGGGGAAUAGAUGAGAAGUCUGUUACACUCUCUCUCUGUCUCUCAAUUCCAGCUAGCUUUUGCCAUAUCCAUGCCAUGUGUGACUUAUUAGUUCGUUGAAACGUGACAGUGACAGUUCAUCCAGUCAUUUGUGAUAAGUUACUAUGGGUUUUCAUUUAUAGAAACGUUUUGCCUUGUUUAUUCUAGACAAUCCUUGUUAGUGAAUAAUACUUUUUCUAUUCUAUUCCUAUUGACUUCGAAUUACGUGAAAUGUUAUAAAAAUGUUGAAGUGCAUGCGACCAAAUUAUUUAUCAUAAAAAAUGGACGAAACGCCAAAGCCUCAUCAAAGUCGCCGACGCUUUAGACACAAAAGUGGACGCAGAUUGAAACUUAGCGCGAAACCGCUUAAACGAAGAGGAACAGCGUUAAUUCAAUACUGGGCUUCCAAAAGGGGCAGAGGCAGAAGUGAAGCUCAGACCGAAGAGUAUAAUGACUCCGAAAAUUCUACGAUAAAUACGGCCUCUGACGCAGAUUUCGUCGCUGAAGAAAGCAAUGUCUGUAACACUUGUCCAGAAAACAAAGACGUUUACGACACUCAUACAGAAAUAAUUGCAGAAGAAAGAAAAAGAACAGAAAGCAGCAUCACCAAAUUAGAAGGUAGACGAAUAGUGGACAUCAAUUCGUUUAUUGUGCAAAUUCAACAAAUCGAUGACCACUUACCAUUUCAUUGCGGUUUUAAAGAUAUGGUAGUAGUGAAAGAACGAAGAAUAGGAUUAAAUUCGUGUAUAACAUUGAAGUGUAAAAUGUGCAAUGAAAAGAAAUCACUGUGGACAAAUUUUUCAAACGAAAACACCAUGGAUGUGAAUACAUCAGCAGUUUCCGGUACAAUCAGCACAGGAGGAGGACAUGCACAGCUGGAAGAGGUUAUGUCAAAGGUCGCCAAAGGGGACAGAAGUUGUUACUGUAUACAAAGAUGAGCAGUUCUGGAGUUCGAAGAUUCUUGAACAAGUGAAAAAAUUUUAUAUGGACUGUGUAUUGCCGGAGCUUGUUGAUCCUCGACACACGCGUUCAAUGCCAAUUCGAAAUCCAGAUUGGAUUAUUGAGGCGCAAGAAGCACGUAAGAAGAAAUAAUGAUGACACAAACAUAACUGGAAAAUAAAAACAAAUAUUGUCACAUACCACUUAUUUAUUAUUAAAACUUACAUUAAAGUAUUAUUAAAGUAAUACUUUAUUAAAGUAAACUUACAUUAAAGUAAUGUACCUAGGUUUCAUAAUGGCCUAGGCUUACAUUACUUUAAUGUAAGUUUUAAUAAUAAAUAAGUGAAGGAGGAAUGAGAAAAAGAUUAAAAAGAAGGAGGAG